UUGUACUAUUGUAGGUGAGCAUGGCUA
rnacentral:sRNA from 1 species